AUACAUUUUUGUGUUACAUGUUAUUAAUUACUUGGCAGCACGGUGGCUUAGUGGUUAGCACUGUUGCUCCACAGCAAGAAGGUCAUGGGGUCGAUUCCCACCUGCAGCCUUCUUGUGUGUUUGCGUGUUCUCCCUAUGUUUGUGUGGGUUUCCUCCAGGUGCUCCGGCUUCCUCCCACAUCCAAGGACAUGCAGGUUAGGUGGACUGGAAAAUU